rnacentral:lncRNA from 1 species
CAUGGUGCUUAUCACUUUCCAACAAAUGACACGAUUGACUUAUUUAGUAAAGUGUUUCUUGUUUCUUGUGCUCUUCUAACCCCCCAAAGUAAACACUUCUGGAGGGCAGGGAUUUGCCUGUGUUGAUCACUCAUGUAUCUCAUGUGCCUGGUAUAUAGCAGGUCUUCAAUCAAUUAUUUACAGAAUGAAUGAAUAAGACCUUGUAUUGGUCUAACUUCUUAGAAUUCCAUGAAAUAUCCAUUCUUCCUGCUUGGUAAACUGGUAACUGGUUAUUUCCCCAUGGAUACCAACCCAAGAAACUAAGUUACUAAAAUCUGAAAAACUCUAGAUUAAAUUGCACCAUGUAUUGAGAAUUUGUCCAGGAACUGAGUUUUACAUGUAUUUUCACAUUUAAUCUUCACCAAAAGCCAAUUAGAAAGACAUUACGUUCCUCCCCAAUAUCUUUUUUUUUUUUUUUUUUGUCUUUUUAGGGCCACCCCUGCGGCAUAUGGUGGUUUCCAGGCUAGGGGUCUAAUCGGAGCUGUUGGCGCGCAAGCCUACGCCACAGCCACAGCAACACCAGAUCUGAGCCAUGUCUGCAACCUACACCACAGCUCACGGCAACGCUGGAUCCUUAAACCACUAAACGAGACCAGGGAUUGAACCUGCAUCCUCAUGGAUGCCAGUCAGAUUCGUUUCCCCUGAGCAACGACUGGAACUCCCCUCCCUAAAAUCUUAAAGAGCCUAAGGAAAUUCAAUUACAGAGAGAUGAAAUAAUCCGAGACUGAAUUCGCUAGGAGUGCCUGUGCUGGGCUCUCUGCAGACCCCAGGCCAUCUGAUGGUGCCCCUUUCUGCUCCCUUCGUUAUAAAAUGGAUCCACUUCUUCAACAGCCCCAGAUAACAGAGAGACCCUAUGGACUGUUACGGAAAGAAUCCAAAAGGCAGUUUAUUACACAGAGAAAUCUGGACUAAAAAAAUAAAUAAAUAAACACAAAAGAAGCUAUACUUUCCUAAUAAGAAGAACUGAGUCAUUCCUGUGAAAUCAUUUUGUUACUGUUCCAAUCAAACCAACACUAACACGACAUGAAAGGGAAACGGCAUGACCUCUACCUUCGGCGCUGGUCUCCCUGAAGACUUGCUGUGUGACCAGCGCCGACUCUUCCCUGAGCCCUGGCUCACGGGCAUAAAGCCACUCAGCCUGUGCACGGGUUCCAUCCCCGGCCCAGGAACUUCCAUACGCCAUGGGUGCAGACAUAAAAAAUAAAUACUAAAUUUUUUUAAAUUUGUGAAAAAUCCAAUUAUCUCCUGAUCACAAUUUCUGAGAUUGGUAGGAGUAGGUGAUGAGCCAUGACCCAAGCCCAAAAGAGCAAAAGUGCAAAAGCUACAUCAACACAGAGAGCUAGGUCCAAGCGUCACCAGAAAGUAGCAGAAAAAGAAUAAUUCUAACAGAGACUCUUUUCUAUGAAUCAUCUCAGGGGUGGACCAAUGUCUUAGCGGUCACCAAGCCACAAUGGAGACAGGGUCCAUGGGAAAACGUUUCUGGAAGGGUCAGCUUUUCUUUAGGCCAAGGAGGAAAAAGCCCAAGCCAGUCACCCACUUCUAGGGCUGAGAAGAGGCAAUGCGGUCAGGCAAGGCGGGGAAUGGCCACCCCAGCGUUACGGUCACCACCCUAACCACCUCCUGAGCCAUCGACCCUGGAAGGAAAGGAGAGAAAGACCAACCUAGGGUGCUGCCGAUGCCCGCACACAGAGUAGCACCAGGAUAUUCUGUCCCCGGCCAGACCUGGCCUCAUUCCAGCACAGCUCAUGAGACCUAGCCAAAUGCGCCUGGUGGUUUCUCAAACAGACAGACAUUGCGUAAGAAAACAUGUGCUUUCACCUGUCCUGGAUGGGAGGCGGCAACCUCAGUGACUAGGGACAGAGGUAAGAGGAAGAUCUAGCAGACGGCAACGUGGGCAAUGGCCUCAUUCAGAUAAGCAUCUGCAACUUCAAAGUGUCCCGUGGAUAGCUGAAGUUUUUCUCUCACUCCAUAAUUCUAAAUUGUGAGUUCAAAUACCUAAAAUUAGAUUACACAAAUAAAUGCCAAGCAUUCCUUUAGAGAUAAUCUUUAAAACCCCCAACUUAAAAUUCCCCGUUGAAACAGUUUUAAUCAGGAUAGCCAUCCUAAAGUCUUCAUGGUUGAGAUCUCUCAUUUGCAGACAUUUUUACUUUAUUACUAAUAUAAAAUAAACAGGGCAUCCCUAAGAAAAACAUUUAAUUAAAAGCCUUCCCAAGUAUUCCAUAACCACUGAGAGCUGUCGUGACACUCGGAUGUCUUUGGGGGAAGGGUGCACUUAGGAUCUAACUGUACUUGAAAAACAGCAUUGUCGCUAUGGAAGCAGCUCUAAAUUCUGACUGUUUUUUCUUAUGCUAGCGAAGGCCAUAUUCUUUAUAUGCAGCUUUCCUUUUCACUGGGAAGCGCUCUGAUGGUAAUCCAUCUAGUUUGUAGCAAGCCCUGCCUUGCCUAGGCAGCCAUCCUUGCCUCUUACUGUUCAAGCACCACUCUGUUCGCUAAAACACAAACAUGCAGGUAGAGUACAGACAGACUGGAAUACCAGCAUUCGCCAACAAAAGAAAAACGUGACUUCCAAUCAUCAAUCACUCGCUCCUUGGCGGAAUCGUAGAAAAGGCCGACUCAGGUCCAUGUCACUGGUCCAACUGGCCCAAUUCCAACCAUUCUUGGAUCUUUUUUGGACCCGCCAGGGGCGACUUGUCAAUCAAAAUGGAGUAAGCGCGACCAAGUUUUAUUUUAAAACAAACGCUUCAGAAAUCUCAGACUGGUCACUUUUCGAAAUAAGUACUUCUAGUAACACCAUGAAGAGGGUUGCUCAAAUAUGUCUGAAACUCCUUUUUCUGAACUGUCAUCAGAGGCUGUCCCAUUUCAAUAGCUCCGUGACAGUACACAGUCACUCUCUGAAGAUGGAUUUGAUUCUGGAAAGCAAUCAACAGGCAUUCAGAGCCAAACUUGCCAAAUAAGGUAGGUGAUCAUGUUGAGUAAUACUGUUUUCCAUAAAAAUGAGGUGUGACCAUAAAAGUAAUGACAUUGUUUUCUUAUGAGGAUCAUAAAUAUUUUCUGAAGGCAAACACCAAAAAAAAAAAAAAAAAAAAAAAGGUUCAAAAGUGUUUGGUGUUUGGUUUCAGAAAUGUCAAGAUCUUUGGAAUUAGGACAAAAUCACCAAAGCUACUCUGAACACAGUGUCCCACCUGGACACGCAUAUAUAUGCGUCUACAGGACAAAUUAAAUUAAAUUAUUGAUUUCUGCCAACUGUCUCCUAAUCUAACAUUUUAUUUUCACACAGCUUUGUUCUUCUGCCACUAUCGUUCUCAUUAGUUCAAAUGAUUCACUGAUGGAAAAAAGUAUUAAAGUAUAUGAUUCCUUCAAGGAAAAAAGUGAUAGAAUGAAUGAAAGUAGUCUUAUUUAGCAUCUCAGAGUUGAAGGCGCUUUAGAGAGGAUUCAUCGGAAAGAUACGUACAGAGUAAAUAGUAGCAGAGAGAGAGACGUUCCCUUUUCCAGGAGGAACCAUCUAGGUCUCCCUUCGAUAACUCCUCCCUAAGUAGGAGGGUGGUUAUGCGGCUGUGAGUUGGUCCCUGGCAGUAUUUUUUGGCCAGGGACAGUUAUUUCUAUGUUAUCCAAGUUGUUUUUUCCUAUUAUAUUCCUAAGGAGAAGAGUCAGGAAGGCUCUCUUUACUCUAUGGUACCGAGGAAGCUUCCUCCGCAAUGGUGAGAUCAACACUUCUAUCCAAGGGCGGUUCAGGUGGCACGAGGGCAGACAGAUUCACCUUCUUGAAAUACUUAGUGCUGCAGGAAUAAGAUGAAGUCCAAAGGUAUUUGCACAUUCAAGUCUACUUGCAGAGAGCAGGCUUAAUAGUUUCCUAGGUUCCUGGAAGUGAGGUGCUGCUGUCAUGAACCCCCAAAAAUGUAGACAAUGGCUUUCUAAUUUAUCUUUGCUCCAUGAUGCUUCUGAUGAUUUCUCGACUCUUCUAUUGCAGUUUUCAAGACUUUUCAAAAUCUACUAAAUUUAUUUCACCACUCAUUAAUGGGCACCUCCCAUGGUCUGAAAAACAUGGACCUACAGCAAGUGUUUUGGACAGUGUGGCCCAUAGACCACUUCUAUCAGAACAGAACAUGCAAAAACCAACCAACAAACAACAACAACCACAAAAAACACCCCAAAUUCCUGGGCUUCAUCCCACCCCUACUGCAACAAAUCAUCUGUUGGUAAAGCCCAGGAACUGUCAUUUUAACAAACUUUCCAGGCGAUUCUGAUGUGCACCGAUGUUUGGAAACACAUCUAGACCUCGAUCCAGUCAUGAGUCACAAGGAAAACAGGUCCAACGAGGCUAUGUGAUAUGUCACUCUGUUAAUUAGUACUGAAGCCAGCGGUGGGGAUUCUUGCCUUCUGUAUUCCUGGGUGGUGUUCUUUAACUGCAUAAAGCCACUCGUGCCCAUCUGGGAUCCAGAUGCCACAACUUUAUUCCAUGGCCAUGCUCACUGCUUCAUCCCCAAUGCCUAGCACAGGGCCAUGUCUGGGUGGCGAUAAGGAAGAACCACAGAGAUAUGUGUCUUAUCCUUUUGAGAAUUAAAGUUCCAAGAACACAAGAGUGCCAAAUCACCCAGAUGGCCAAUCCAACAAUGACCACGUUGUUUAAUAAGCACGGAUCUUCAUCAAAUGCACCUCUGACUUCCAGAACAAACGAUCUCAAAGACCGAAAAGUGAAAUAAUGGAGGCAAAAGUCCUCUGCUUUCCUUCUACACAGAUAAGAAGAAAAUAUUACAUAAGGGAUCCAACAACGGCCAAGAGAAGCAGCAAACUUGUAAUAAGAAGCCUCAGUUUUACUUCCUGAAUCAUAAAACUUACAAAAGGUUUUCUCAGAUUUUAACAAAGGAACAAUAUUAACAAAAAGCAAGUCAAUCCCGGAGUCUAAAUAAAGAUAUAUGUAUGAGAACAAAAAUAGACCACAGAAUUGGAACAUUUAACUGCCAAACCCAUGGUUUGGUUAGUCGUUCUGAUUCUGCCUUUCUGAAAUCAUAUUUUCCAUCCGCAGGGCUCCUCCAAUCAGUUCAGGUUUACAAGGGUCAGGCUUUAGUCACAGCCACAGAAAUACCUAUGGCAUGACCAGCACCCUCUGAGGAUUCCACAGAGUAAUGUUUGCCCCCUCUUCUGCAAACAGCCCAAGGAUGGUUUUCCCAGGGUCUAAAACCAAAUUAAUCCAAUAUGCCUUUAUUGAGCAACUAUUAUCUCCUGAGUGUUGUGUUAGGCCACUGCGGAGUGGGAAGAGUUACAACCAGACUCUGCAGUUCUCAAGUCCUAUGUUCAAUUACAAAAAUGUCCCGGCGUCUCCAUAAGUGCAAGGCUGUUAUUAGUAAUCACACAAACAGGUACACAAUGGCCCAUGGAUUUACCUGGGAGGAAGGAGGAAGCAGCGGCAAUGUGCACACAAGGGGACUUUUGUCCAGGGAAAUAUUCAAAUGUGAGGCAGGGUGACCUUCCCUUGCACAUCCUCUCUGGCCUUGAGACUCUUCCUUCCUUUCGAUGUCUCUGUCAAAGCACAGGUGGAAAGGGGGGCUUUACGACGCCCCCACCGCACCUACACUUACACACAGGCCAUGUUUCCAAGGGCGGGGAGAACUCCUCCCGAGGCUCCUGGAGUCCCGGCAAAGCUGACUCAUGCUCUCACUUCAUUUCCUACAUCCCUCUCGGGGUCCCUGUCGUCCUUCUUCUCUGUAAACUAGUGGUCGGCAGCACAGCUAACCAGGGCUGCAGACCCAAUGCCUCGGGUUACUGGGAGUUUUUCAGAAACACACUCCUCUGGUAACUCAGGUCUGACCAGAGCUACUUCCGAGAUUUACUGGCAAGCUGUGCAGCUGGUCAAAACCCCAAAGAAAUAUUCUACCAAUUUCAAAUGCUUUCAGGAACCUAAAAAGAAAAUCAACCUUGGCAUCAUUAAGCUGUUCACACAGGACAUCCGUCCUGAUCCAAAUAGCUAUUCGCCCCUUUCCCUUGGGCAUCAGUAAAGCUGGGAGAUUUAGUUUCAAAUAAAUUUGACAACUGACUUUAAACACCCUGUGUAAUUUGUAUCCGGCUGUGAGAAUGAGCUUCACCUCUGGAGUUUGAUGACAGGGUUUUAAGAAUUUCUCCUACACACAUUUUUUUCCUGUGUGUACAUCACAGCAUGAAUGAAGCCACAAUCAUUC